AACGAACGCUGGCGGCAUGCCUAACACAUGCGAGUCGAACGAAGGCUUCGGCCUUAGUGGCGCACGGGUGCGUAACGCGUGGGAAUCUGCCCUUUGCUUCGGAAUAACAGUUAGAAAUGACUGCUAAUACCGGAUGAUGUCGCAAGACCAAAGAUUUAUCGGCAAAGGAUGAGCCCGCGUAGGAUUAGCUAGUUGGUGGGGUAAAGGCCUACCAAGGCGACGAUCCUUAGCUGGUCUGAGAGGAUGAUCAGCCACACUGGGACUGAGACACGGCCCAGACUCCUACGGGAGGCAGCAGUGGGGAAUAUUGGACAAUGGGCGAAAGCCUGAUCCAGCAAUGCCGCGUGAGUGAUGAAGGCCUUAGGGUUGUAAAGCUCUUUUACCCGGGAUGAUAAUGACAGUACCGGGAGAAUAAGCUCCGGCUAACUCCGUG
rnacentral:rRNA from 1 species